rnacentral:lncRNA from 1 species
AUGAGCAUCAGUGAGAGGAACGAGACUUGUGUGGAAGCUGCAGAGACGGACAAUCUGGUGGGGAACAAUUCUGAUUUGGAGCUCAGGCUGAAGAGGACCAGGAGUGGGCGGAUAAUCAAGUCCUCAACGGUUUCAAAGUACAACAUCCACUGCAGCCAGGAAUCAUCAACUGCCUCUGCUAUCUGGAAGAGACGCAAAUUCAGCGAGCCCAAAGAUCACUGCUGA